CGGGCGAGGUGCUACCAGCAGGGAAAGAGCGUCGCUGACCCGAAAGCUGCCCACCACCCCAAAGGAAGGGAGAGAGUUCAUUUACCAAAAUGUGAUUGUGCAGCUAAUGCGAUGCAGAAAAGAAAAGGCAGCUGGGAUGUAGUGGAAUGGGAUAAGGGUAGGGAAUUGUGGGCUUGGACCUACUAGUGGGAGGACUUGCUAUAACAAAUGUGAAAGGUCUAGGAAGGGCCUUCGUGAACUGUCCCUCCUUCAAAUGCUUGGUAAUCCUGUUAUUUAUAAAAUGAGGAGCUUGUUUAA